AUACAGAGGGUGCGAGCGUUAAUCGGAAUUACUGGGCGUAAAGCGCGCGUAGGCGGUUUGUUAAGUCGGAUGUGAAAUCCCCGGGCUCAACCUGGGAACUGCAUUCGAAACUGGCAGGCUAGAGUAUGGUAGAGGGAAGUGGAAUUCCGGGUGUAGCGGUGAAAUGCGUAGAUAUCCGGAGGAACAUCAGUGGCGAAGGCGGCUUCCUGGACCAAUACUGACGCUGAGGUGCGAAAGCGUGGGGAGCAAACAGGAUUAGAUACCCCAGUAGUCC
rnacentral:rRNA from 1 species